ACGCGAAGCUAACACUUAAAGAAAAAGUGACGAUGUGGUGGAAAGUGGACAUGUUUUGUGGUUUGUUUAUGACCCGGAGCUCAAAUGUGUCGAGGCGGUUGUACAUGUGAGAGAACGCAACUACUCUGGUUAGCUCUGUAGGCUAACACCUACCGACACGACC